UNGCUUGACUUGAGCUCAUCAGCCACCUC
rnacentral:piRNA from 1 species